ACUCCUACGGGAGGCUGCAGUAGGGAAUCUUCCGCAAUGGACGAAAGUCUGACGGAGCAACGCCGCGUGAGUGACGAAGGUUUUCGGAUCGUAAAACUCUGUUGUGAGGGAAGAACAAGUGCCACGUAACUACUGGCACCUUGACGGUACCUCACCAGAAGGCCACGGCUAACUACGUGCCAGCAGCCGCGGUAAUACGUAGGUGGCAAGCGUUGUCCGGAAUUAUUGGGCGUAAAGCGCGCGCAGGCGGUCCUUUAAGUCUGAUGUGAAAGCCCACGGCUCAACCGUGGAGGGUCAUUGGAAAACUGGAGGA
rnacentral:rRNA from 1 species